rnacentral:rRNA from 1 species
GACGAACGCUGGCGGCGUGCUUAACACAUGCGAGUCGAGCGGAAAGGCCACUUCGGUGGUACUCGAGCGGCGAACGGGUGAGUAACACGUGAGUAAUCUGCCCCUGGCUUUGGGAUAGCCACCGGAAACGGUGAUUAAUACCGGAUACGACCACUUCUCGCAUGGGAUGGUGGUGGAAAGUUUUUUCGGCCAGGGAUGUGCUCGCGGCCUAUCAGCUUGAUGGUGAGGUAAUGGCUCACCAUGGCUUCGACGGGUAGCCGGCCUGAGAGGGUGACCGGUCACACUGGGACUGAGACACGGCCCAGACUCCUACGGGAGGCAGCAGUGGGGAAUAUUGGACAAUGGGCGGAAGCCUGAUCCAGCAACGCCGCGUGAGGGAUGACGGCCUUCGGGUUGUAAAGUUCUUUUGGUGGGGACGAUGAUGACGGUACCCACAGAAUAAGCUCCGGCUAACUUCGUGCCAGCCGCCGCCGUAA